rnacentral:rRNA from 1 species
UACGUAGGGUGCGAGCGUUGUCCGGAAUUAUUGGGCGUAAAGAGCUUGUAGGCGGUUUGUCGCGUCUGCUGUGAAAAUCCGGGGCUCAACCCCGGACUUGCAGUGGGUACGGGCAGACUGGAGUGUGGUAGGGGUGACUGGAAUUCCUGGUGUAGCGGUGGAAUGCGCAGAUAUCAGGAGGAACACCGGUGGCGAAGGCGGAUCUCUGGGCCUUACCUGACGCUCAGGCGCGAAAAGCUAGGGGGAGCGAACAGG